AACGAACGCUGGCGGCAUGCCUAACACAUGCAAGUCGAACGAGACCUUCGGGUCUAGUGGCGCACGGGUGCGUAACGCGUCGGAACCUGCCCUUAGGCUCGGAAUACCUCCCCGAAAGGGGUGCUAAUACCGGUUAAUGUCUUCGGACCAAAGAUUUAUCGCCUUUGGAUGGGCCCGCGUUGGAUUAGCUAGUUGGUAGGGUAAAAGCCUACCAAGGCGACGAUCCAUAGCUGGUCCGAGAGGAUGAUCAGCCACACUGGGACUGAGACACGGCCCAGACUCCUACGGGAGGCAGCAGUGGGGAAUAUUGGACAAUGGGCGGGAGCCUGAAGCAGUAAGGCCGCGUGAGUGAUGAAGGCCUUAGGGUUGUAAAGCUCUUUUACCCGGGAUGAUAAUGACAGUACCGGGAGAAUAAGCUCCGGCUAACUCCGUG
rnacentral:rRNA from 1 species